rnacentral:lncRNA from 1 species
CAAGAACAGAACAUGAAGUGAAACUGAUUUUUCAGAAACAGGGAGUUAUAGGAACCAUAUCGGAAGGAGACAUAAAAUACCUAUGAAAAUGGAAAUUAUUUUUUGGCUAACUUUAUAGCAGCUCAGAACAUCCUGCAAAUCCAGACCAUACACAAUAAGUAUUUGAGUGACUCGAAUCCACUAAAAAUUGGGUAUAUUAGAAUCUGGGGUGUGAAUACCUAUGUGACACAAGUCAGUUUCACCUAUGACAACCGGCAAUUUAUGGAGACAAAUUUCAGGAGUGAACCUUAUAAUCAGAUACUAACUAUUCAAUUGACUAACAAGACUAUCAACCUGGAAAAGUUAACUGAGGUUACUUGGAUUGAUGGUGGUCCUGUACUUCCUACUCCAACUAAGACAAGUACCAUCCCAAUGAGUUCUCAUCCUUCUCCAUCUACUACCAAUGCCACCAGUUCUGAGACAAUCACCAGUUCUGCCAGUGCAAAUACUACCACUGGCACUACUGCUACUGUUCCUAUCACAACCACAUCUUUCCCAAGUACUACUAGUGUUACAACUAAUACUACUGUUCCUG